AUCGCUGCAAAAUCAGCGACCGGGUUUGGCGACCCGACCUAAACAAUAGGCGCACAGGCGCCACCAUGACGAUUGCUGGCGUUUUUUUU
rnacentral:sRNA from 1 species